rnacentral:other from 1 species
GCGUCACUGCGGCGUUCGAUUGUGGCCCGGUGGUACCCUUGAGCCUUAAUUUUUCACCACGGGACCGAGUACUUCCGUUUCGCUGUGCAUGUCCGUCUUCGAGCGGAAAGCCUAAAGAUCCGGAGACUUCUCCCACCUGAGCCCUAGGUUCAAGGUCAAGGGCCACGCCGGCGCCUGCGGGGCGCG